AACGAACGCUGGCGGCAUGCCUAACACAUGCAAGUCGAACGAGACCUUCGGGUCUAGUGGCGCACGGGUGCGUAACGCGUGGGAACCUGCCCUUAGGUUCGGAAUAACUCCCCGAAAGGGGUGCUAAUACCGGAUAAUGUCUUCGGACCAAAGAUUUAUCGCCUUUGGAUGGGCCCGCGUUGGAUUAGCUAGUUGGUAGGGUAAAAGCCUACCAAGGCGACGAUCCAUAGCUGGUCUGAGAGGAUGAUCAGCCACACUGGGACUGAGACACGGCCCAGACUCCUACGGGACACAGCAGUGGGGAAUAUUAGACAAUGAGCGAUAGCGUGAUCAAGCAAUGCCGCGUGAGUGAUGAAGGCCUUAGGGUUGUAAAGCUCUUUUACACGAGAUGAUAAUGACAGUACCGGGAGAAUAAGCUCCGGCUAACUACGUG
rnacentral:rRNA from 1 species